CCAAUCGCGUAUAUUAAAGUUGUUGCAGUUAAAAAGCUCGUAGUUGAAUUUCGGGACCAAUUUGUUGGUCGUGCCUCGGUACGUACUGGUAUUAUUGGUUUCUCCCUUCUGAAGAACCUUGAUGUCAUUAAUUUGGUGUCUUGGGGAAUCAGGACUGUUACUUUGAAAAAAUUAGAGUGUUUAAAGCAGGCAUACGCUUGAAUACAUUAGCAUGGAAUAAUGAAAUAGGACGUUUGAUUCUAUUUUGUUGGUUUCUAGGAUCGACGUAAUGAUUAAUAGGGAUAGUUGGGGGCAUUAGUAUUCAAUUGUCAGAGGUGAAAUUCUUGGAUUUAUUGAAGACUAACUACUGCGAAAGCAUUUGCCAAGGAUGUUUUCAUUAAUCAAGAACGAAAGUUAGGGGAUCGAAGACGAUCAGAUACCGUCGUAGUCUUAACCAUAAACUAUGCCGACUAGGGAUCGGAUGAUGUUAAUUUUUUAAUGACUCAUUCGGCGCCUUACG
rnacentral:rRNA from 1 species